CGGAAUAAUACGAAGCUUGAUUCAGAGCCGAAGGUGCUGAGCAGGAAAGCUUCGGCGUAACAGCAAAGAGUGGAACCGACUUAAAGAUGAAAAGGCUAUCCAGACCCCGAUAGAUUACUAUAGAGUUAUUAUCAAAUGUAAAGGGCAUGAAUGUAAUUUUGUAAGGGCUGUGUCCCUUGUCUAUAAAUAGGUGAACAGUAUCCCCGUACUGUUCACGCUGACUUGGCAUUCGUUUUUUGCGCCAAGCUUGUACUGUCAUUCCCUUCCGAUUGAAGGUACACCUGUAAUUCGACAAUGUUUCUGUUUAUGCCCUGUCAUAAUAUAUGAUUACUUAUAUUGUCUUUAAUAUUCUUUAUAUUUCAUUCCUCGCUAUUACUUAAUGAAUGUAUGAAGGUAUGUCCUUCAUAACCUUCGUCCGCAAGCCAUUACAUCCUAAGGGAAAUAAUGCUUCGGGGACGAAGGACUUUAACGAUUAACAUUUUCUAUGUUGCCUUGUUCUUAACUCAUAGCAUUUGAGAACAAGCCCCCAACAUUGGCGCCCACCUCCAGUGAACUCACUUCCAUUUCUUGAGUUUUUUCAACACCUUCGGCAAGCAUCACCUUCGUCAUGCCGCCGAAGAAGACUUCAGCACCAGGGGCUGGCACGCUGCAGCCGUUGGACCCCAAUCAAGACGUCCUUUCUCUUAGAGAGGCACGAAGCCAGAAGAGGAAGGCUACCAGUCCAACACCUCCGGAGGAUGAUCUAGAUCAGGAGAUUCAAAAUCUGGAAAUCCUUCAGCAACAGGUUCAACGCAAGAAGGAGAAGAUGGCCAGGCUAGCUGAACUGCAGAGGCAAAUAGACGAAGCCUCUGAAGAAGUUCGCCAUCUUGCUCAGGAUGAGCAACACCGAAGGCCUCAGCAUCAAGAUCUUCAUCAGGAGGGUUUUGCCAACGAAGAUGACUGGUAUGACAAUUUCCAUCAUGGGAAUUUUGUUUUUGAUGAUGCUUCUCCCCUGUCCGCUGAGCUGCAGGCUACACCUUGGCCCCCGUCCUACAAGCCGCCUCAGCUCCCCGUAUUUGAUGGCCACUCAGACCCGAAGCAGUUUUUGAUGAGCUACGAAGCAACAGUGUCUUCGUAUGGUGGCAAUGCUUCGGUCAUGGCCAAGUCUUUCGUUAUGGCUGUCAGAAGCGUUGCUCAAACCUGGUAUUCCUCCCUUCGACCAGGAACGAUCACCUCAUGGCAGAAGCUGAAGGACUUGCUGUUAACUAGCUUUCAAGGGUUUCAGACGAAGCCGGUCACUGCUCAGGCUCUCUUCCAAUGCACUCAGGACCAUGAAGAGUACCUUCAGGCAUAUGUCCGAAGGUUUCUGCGAUUGAGGGCACAGGCGCCAACAGUGCCCAAUGAGAUUGUCAUUGAGGCUAUGAUCAAGGGGCUUCGGCCAGGGCCGUCAGCACAGUAUUUUGCCAGGAAGCCACCACAAACGCUGGAAAAGCUGCUCCAGAAGAUGGACGAAUACAUUCGAGCUGACAAUGAUUUUCGUCAAAGAAGGGAGGAGGCUUUCAGGUUUUCUGAAAUGACCAGGGGCUUCGGAGGAAGGUUUUACCCGAGACAUGUCAGGUCAAUUCACAAUUCCACUCAGAAUGAUGAUAAAGGGAGUCAGCACCAAAGGCCACAAUACUCCUCACAGGCUUCAGGGCAACAACAAAGUUCCUUCCGACCUCCAGCUCCAAGAGGCAGAGGCGCCAGGGGCUUCGGAGGAAGAUUCGGCGAUCAACCAAGAAGAAUCUUUUGCUUAUUCUGCGGUGAGAACAAAGGCCAUACUACCAGGAUGUGCCAUGUCACUAUUCAGAAGCAAAAGGAAAUAGCUGAAGCAGCAGCACAACAAGCUCAGCCGAAGCAGGUUAUGCAUACAGCUUCGUAUCAUUCGCCCUACAUCCCAGAAUAUGUAGGCAACCAUCCUGCAGUCUCUGUUGCUUCGGCGAGUCAGCCUCAAGCUUCCUGGCAACAGCCUCCGCCUCCACCUCCGUUGCAGCAAGGCCAGCAGCCAGAAGGGAGCCAAUACGCUCCGCAACAAAGGGACUUCAGAGAACAGUCCGAAGCUCGCACGGUCAACAGCACUGUGCCAGAAUCAAAGCACAUCUAUUGAUAAAUAUCCUACCUUAAUAGCAAUCUUUUUCAUUCAGUUUUAUUUUCUGUAAUAAAGGACAUUGAUUAGGUUUCAUGUAAUUAGUUUCGUUGAUUCCUACAAAAAAAUAUGUUUUCUUCACAGGCUUGUGAUAAUAAAAAGGACCUUCGAACUAUCGACAAUUCUUCGAAGCAACAAAAAAGUCGUUCUAAGGAACGCAGAGUAAGUUUGAUGAAGUCACAAAAAGUCGUUCCGAAGGGAACGCAGUGUAAGUUUUCUGCUCCAAAGUCGUUCCAAAAGGAAUGCAGAGCAUACAGCGAAAAGUCAACGCUGAUACCGCCUAAGUAAAAGGCGAAGAAGCUCCAAAGACGUUCCUAAGGGAAUGCAGAGCUUACAGCGAAAAGUCAACGCUGAUUCCGCUGAAGUAAAAGGCGAAGAAGCUCCUAAGGGAGGCUUAUAGCAAAAAGUUAAUGCUGGUUCGCAAAAAAGAUUGAGUUUUAUCGCGCAGAUAUGCGUGUACCUUCGGAAUACCACUUUACAUAGCAUAACAUCAUCACAUCAUUUUGCAUAACAUAAGCAUCAUACAUCAUACUGCAUGUGGCAUAAGAAAGAGAUAUGAUAUCAAUCUUCGGGAAAACGCUUUGAAAAAGGAGCAAUUCAUGCCAAGUCACAAGGAGAAAUAAUAUUGAUCUCUGAAGCAUAGCCUUGAGGAAUGAUUCUACGAAGCUUCAACACUUUUCGGGAUACUUCGGAUAUUGUUGUGAUAAAUGGUAAUACUUCUUCACGAAGCAUGAAAAGAAGGGAAGGUGUUUUUUCGCCAGACUCAAAAACGGUACGUAUGUAAAGUUUCAUGCAUCGUAAAGAAUUGAACCAUUAAGAAAAAUAAGACAAAUAUAUUACAUACAGGAUUACAAGAUAUUACACAUGUUACAUUUAAAAUGUUUUUACAAUAGCAUUUAGUCCUCCCUAAGUACCACUUCUGCGGCUUCGUUCAACAGUCGAUCAACAACUUCGUCCAUGAUAUCUUCGGCCAUCUUUUUAAUUUCGUCGUCCCCCUUCGGCUGAGGGUCCGAAGGCGCUUUAGUCGGAUCUGAAGCAGGACACGGCUACAUUGCUAUUACAAAUCGCAAACAGAUCUUAAAAGCCUAAAGAUUGCAACACGAUAAAAACUAUUAUUUAGUACCUAAUUGACCUUCGGCUUCUGCGCUCUUGGCAGCAGCCUCAGCUACUUCUCUGGCAUCAUGAAUGCCCUUUUCACUUCUUCGAAUAAUUUCUCCGGCCAUUUCUCGGCCACCAUUGUCCCAGAUAUCGGUAAAAAACUUUCCACCAAUUAUGCUAGCUUCGGCCGAAGGAUCUUUUGUAUCUUCAAAGGACAAAGCAGCUUCGGACUGUGCUAAAAUUUUUACAUGUUCGCAGCCCUUCUUCUCUAAAAUGGUGGCAAUCCCUCUGGCGCCAGAGAAGGCACAUAUAUCUCCUCGGCUAUUUAAAAUUUCUUCGAAGGCUUCAGCUUCGUGGUCAAUCCAUUCAAUGACACCUUCGGGAUUGCCUCUCGAAAAGUUUUCCUCACUUGAGAAUGCGCCGACCUUGGCGAAGCUAGCCUUUAAUUUUUUAACACAAUCUAUAGAUUUAUUGUAGCAUCUCUUUUUGGAUGAACGAAGCUCUUCAACAGUCACUUCUAGGUGAUCUGCCCAUUGAUCGCUGAGUUCACGUUUUGUUUCUUCAAGUAUACGUUCUUCUUUGGCUCUGGCCAGUUGUUUCCGAAGGUCUUCAAUUUCGCGUUUCUGAGCUUCAGCUUGACUUUUAAAAGCAGCUUCGUCCUCCUUUAUUUUAUCUAUCAAUGAGUAUAAAAUUUUGUCUUUUUCGAGACCUUCGUUCCUCAGCUCAAUUACUUCGGAACGAAGGUUGCUCAGGGCUAUAGUACACCCUUCGUCUUCAGCAUCUUUCUGUGCCCUGAGGGCAUUGCUGAGUAUUAGGCCCUGCAGAACAUGUCUGUGUCAAUAGUUUUAAACAAACGAAAAAUUUUGAACUCGACAAAAAUACAAGAAUUCCAUUUGUCGCACCUUUAAACUGUUGUAAGCUAGGCUGUCAGCUAGAUCGUUCUUUGACAGCACCGAAAGUCCGUCUUCUAAAAUUGGGAAUCCGAAGCUUCUGCUCAUUUCCCGACAGACAGAAAUUUCCUUGCUGUCGGGGAGACAAUACAAGAAAUCUUCUUCUCCACUACCAUUAAAUAUCAACGCCCCCUUCGGAUAUUUCAACUUUUGGGCAUAGUGCUGGGCCUCUUGUUCUUCUUUUUCUGAUAAUUUUUUCCCCGAAGCAUGACGAAAAAUAUAAUCACGAAUUUUGGGGGAUGCUUCGGGGGUAACAACACCAGUUUCUUCAACAAAGGUUGGCUUUGUUAUUUUUUCUGCCUCACUUUCCAAGGCUUUUGCCUUUGCGGGCUCUGAGGGCCCAGCUUCGGCUUCAAUUUCCUGCUCUGGAGCCGUAGAACCAGAAAUUUCAGUUGUUGUUUCAGAAGCAACAGCAGCCUUCUUCGGAGGUGUGCUUGAAGAUUUGAUUGUUUCCAGUACAUCUAGCACAUUGGCCAUUCUCUUUCUUUUCGGGGUCAUGGCUGGCAUUUUUUGGUUCUUUACUGUCUCAAUGUUUGCUGCAGGACUCAAAACUCCGGAUGUUUUGGAGCCCUCAGCUGCUUCUUUUAUUUCUUCAAUUUUUUCUGUGGACGGCGCUUCGGCUUUCUCUUCUGUUUCUGAUAACAAAAUGUUUGAUUGUUCCGAUUCUAUUUUUGGUGGCACUUCGGCCGUUUCUGCGACCUCUGGCAACAAGGCUGGCUCGGUUGGUUUUUCAGCUUCGGUGGCCGAAGAAGUUUUUCCGGUAAACUCGGGCACCGAAGCUGGUUCAAUAUAACGCGGCCGAUGCGUAAGAACCUUUAUCUUUUUCCUUUUCGGUUCUGGCUCGCUAGGAGCAGCUGCAGCUUCUUCUUUUGCAGAGGUUGUGUUUUUUCUCUUCUGCUUUCGAGUGGGAUAGCAAUAGUCAGGGUAGACAAACCCGAUGGCAUCAAAUACCCGAUUCAGUCUCUUCUUCUUUCGGCCUCCGAAGGUUGCUGACAUUGCAUUAUCUUCGGCCUUCGAGUAGGUCCCAAGCAGCUCAUCACUUAAAUUGUCAAUGCUUUUCAACCACUCAUCAUCUGGCUCAAUAAAUUUAUCUCCAAAUUUAAAAGUGUACUUAAACCUGAUAAGUCCACCUUCGUCGGCCUCUUUAAUGGUUUCUUGAGGCAUUUCCCAUUUCUCCGCAAGCGGCCACACCCUGAAGGCAAUAUGCUCUUGUACUAAGUCCCUUGUUCCUAUAAAAGAGCAGACAACGCCGAAGGCUCUUUGACACUCUUCGGCGGCUUCAUUCAUUUCAACCUUCGGCCUCCGAAGGCCGAAGCUUUGCCAAAUAGGACGCAUGAUUAUACCUUUGAUAUCUUCCCGUGCUUUCAGAUCAUUUUUUACAUAGAACCAUUCUGUCAUCCAGCCGCUAGGCCACCUCUUCCGAAAAGUUGGCACGGGGCAGCUUGACCCAGAUCGAGAAACAAAACUGUAGCAGCCAAAGUUAUUGUGAUACUGCUCUUUACCCCAAGGUAUUGUCUCGUAUGAUAAUUCGUGCAUAUUGCAAAAACUUUUUGCAUCAGGCUUCAGACCUUGGCUUCGCACGGCCCACACGAAGAUGUUCAGCCUUAUGAUUGCCUCGGGGGUAAGUUGGUGAAGAUAAACCUCAAAAAUCUUCAGCACCUCCACGACGAAGCUGCUCAAGGGCAAUCGCAGCCCAGCCUUCAGAAAGCUUCGGAACACUACGACUUCAUUCUCUUCAGGGUGUGGGCAAGUCUUCUCCCCUUCGUCGGCCCUCACAACGGACAAAUCCCGGAAAUAUCUUCCUCUCAUGUUAACAAGAUGAUUCUCUUUGAUAGUUGAUUUACCAUAAACUGAGUGGCUUGGUCGCCAGGGGCGAUCUUCGGAGUCUUCGCCACCACUGUCCACAUCAUAACUUUCACUGUCACCAGUAUCUUCAGACAGCCCUUCCAGAAUCUCAUUGGUGAUUUUUUCUGUGUUGGUCUUCGACAUCGCUAUAAGAAAUCCUAAGUUCUUCUCCUCAUCAAGACUCAGCUUCAUCUCAGCAGCAGCCUUCUUAGCAGCUUCAGACAUCUUCGGAAACACUAAAAAACUGUUUUUAAAGCCGAAGCUUCAAAGCUAAAAGCUUAGCAAAUCACAGUGCACAGGAGCUAAAAAUUGAGUGAGCGGGAGUGGUUGGCCAGAAAGCGUGCAAAAUGAGUUUGCGGUAUGGCCGUAUUUAUACGCUCGGUGCGUUGAAAGUUGAAAGACCCCACUUGUCAUUGAAUGUUGCUAUUCUAGCAAAGGGAAGGUGUUUUUUUCGGACCUUCGGCGUAAAGCCUUCGUCCAUAUCGCAAUCUAAAUUUAUUAUUUCAAACAAAUUGAUAUUGCGAGGGGCUACUGUUGGGGACCUUCGGCGUCCGAAGGUCCUCAAAAACAGGAUUUAAUAGUAUUUCUGUAGUACAAUGUGUGAACAGGUACCCUCAAACUAAAGUCGGCAUUGCAGCAGACCGGAAUAAUACGAAGCUUGAUUCAGAGCCGAAGGUGCUGAGCACGAAAGCUUCGGCGUAACAGCAAAGAGUGGAACCGACUUAAAGAUGAAAAGGCUAUCCAGACCCCGAUAGAUUACUAUAGAGUUAUUAUCAAAUGUAAAGGGCAUGAAUGUAAUUUUGUAAGGGCUGUGUCCCUUGUCUAUAAAUAGGUGAACAGUAUCCCCGUACUGUUCACGCUGACUUGGCAUUCGUUUUUUGCGCCAAGCUUGUACUGU
rnacentral:lncRNA from 1 species